rnacentral:rRNA from 1 species
UGCGAGUCAGGUACCGUAAGAUGCCGGCACACUGCUCAGUAACACGUGGAUAAUCUAACCUUGAGUAAGGGAUAACUUCGGGAAACUGAAGGUAAUACCUUAUAAUUGCUUAAAACUGGAAUGUUUUUGCAAUAAAAGUUACGACGCUCAAGGAUGAGUCUGCGACCUAUCAGGUAGUAGGUGGUGUAAUGGACCACCUAGCCUCAGACGGGUACGGGCCCUGGGAGGGGUAGCCCGGAGAUGGACUCUGAGACAUAAGUCCAGGCCCUACGGGGCGCAGCAGGCGCGAACACUGUGCAAUGCGCGAAAGCGCGACACGGGGAGCUUGAGUGUCUUGGCAUAGCCAAGACUUUUCUCAUUCCUAAAAAGCAUGAGGAAUAAGUGCUGGGUAAGACGGGUGCCAGCCGCCGCGGUAACACCCGCAGCACGAGUAGUGGUCACUUUUAUUGAGCCUAAAGCGUUCGUAGCCGGUUUUGUAAAUCUUCAGAUAAAGCCUGAAGCUUAACUCCAGAAAGUCUGAAGAGACUGCAAGACUUGAGAUCGGGUGAGGUUAAACGUACUUUCAGGGUAGGGGUAAAAUCCUGUAAUCCCGGAAGGACGACCAGUGCCGAAAGCGUUUAACUAGAACGAAUCUGACUGUAAG